rnacentral:lncRNA from 1 species
AUGGCUCGUUUGCGUAUGCCUGUGCGAGGCCCCUCCGCCCGUGGCACUGAGCCAAUCAGCUCAAAGGAAGCCGAUGACAUCAUGUACAGGGAUGCAUUUAUGCCUCUUGCUAGAACAAGGAAUUCUAGGAACAGAGAUGUUGAGGGGGGACGAGGAUCUGUGCUUCUGUCAGAAAGUGAAUUUAUUGAUCAGAAUGGAAAUGCUUUCCCAGUUCCUCCAGACGUUGAGAGGAAAUCUGCUAAACAGUCUGCACGAGAGCGACGCAGACUAGCAAACCUGCAGUCUGCAGAGAACAAGGCAGUGCAGCUGCAGCCGCAGCCCUUCAAUAUAAGGAAGCUCAGAGACACAAACACUCCCAGGAAGAAGGGACUACAAGCCUUCAGCCAUCACAACACCACAGCAGGAGGCUGCUUGGAUGAUGAUGAGGAAGCAAAUCGUGGUGAUGGGCAUUUUACCCUGCAGUCUCCUGGCAGGCCCAGCUCUAUUGAUACAGCCACUACAGAGCCCUGGAUUCGAGCGGAGUCAUCAGACACACUUAGGAGGCUAAUGUCCGCCUCUGAACUUUAA